CACAUAAUAAGUAAAACGACAUUCUUAUUGAACUAAAAAAAACUAGUAAACCCUCCUUCUCACAAGGAAUCUUUCCCCACACUUCCUCUUCUUCUACUCUCAGCCACUUUGUUUGAUCUUCUUGGACCUGAGCCUCUUCUGCACAAAUGCCAGUGGAACAGGUAACUUAUCACGUUGCUUCCCUCUCCGCUCUAGCCUCAUCAUCUCGCUCCAGUCGAUUGCUCUUUCAGUUUACUCCAAGGUUUUUCUAGAGCUCGUCCACUCAGAUCGGAGUGAAAAGUUUCGGUGAGGCUCGCCACCGAAGACCUUUGUUUCGUUAGUUCAUGAGACGACUGCCAUGGUGUACUUGCAGUAAUCGCAAGGUUCUCUUCUUCUCGCUCGCGACGUUGUCUCCUAAUGUUUUGAGGACAACCUGAUGAGUAGGCGUUAUUUGCCUGAUGGCGGAGCUCCGGCUCUCUGGUUUUGUCACCUGCUUUUUGGAGGACGCUUCUAGCUCCUUCUACGGUUUCUUUUGUGUUUUCCUUGAUUACUCCGCCGAUUCUCCAGAGAUCUCCUCCUGAUCGGAUGAGGUGGCCAUUGUACCGCCUGCGCUUGAUCGGAGCUUAUCUCAUGUGUUUAUAGUUCAUCGGCGAUGCUUGUGGACAGCACCUUCGUCUUCAGCUGAGUUGGCUUUAGGUCUGUUUGUCGACGUCCUCCUCCUGUAGUGUUCCGGGGGUGGGAGCCAGACACCUCCGUCAAGCUGCGUGGAACCAUCUUCAGGUAAGUUCUCGUCUGAGCGGACCUUUUAAGCUAUUUCUCUUGUUCACUCGUCCGAUUAAACUUGAAGCGCAAAGACUAGAAGCUUAAUUGGUUGUCUCUUGUGCUAGAUUGUUAUUAACUUCAAAUUUACCGGUUUUGGUAUGCUUGGACUUAGUCUUUGUGUUUCUUAGUGGUUUUUAAAAUUUUUUUUUUUCGGGCUCUGAGAACGGAUUAGCUAUUAAACAGAUUGUGAUUUUCAAUUAACAAUGUAACCAAACUUUCAGUAAAGUGAUGACAUUUAAAAUUUAGCAACAAAAGAAAACAUUCUUAAAUAUUGGGACGUAAAUCUUGGAUCGUAAUAGGAGUCAGAACCUCAACCUUAACUUCGAUGUAUUCUUAUGUGUCUACAUAAUUUUUAAAUGAACUCAGACACGUUUUUUAUUUAUGACAUUUUUGAAGUGGUUAAGCGUUAUUAACUUACUAUUCACUUUCAGAAAGACUAAACAGUGUGUUGGCAUGCUUGCAUAUAUAUAUAUACUGUUGUUAAUAUAGUUGUAUCUCUAUUAUCACGUCUCCAUAUGUUUGGCUAUAAGAUGUAAAUCACCACAAGAACUUUUAUAUUAUCACACCAACGUAAGAAAAUGCUUCCAUCAAUAGAUAUGACUCCAACGAAAAUGUCGGACCAUAUUUCCAUAAGAUAUCUAGUACGAGUAUUGUCAAUUACUCUGAACAAACCCAUUUAAAGAUCUUGAACAACAUUACAGCAUUCAUGCAAGUGGAUAGAAAGCAAGACGGGCCAAGCCACACAUUCCUUGGGGUGUAUCCACGUCUCUCUUGAUUCUCAUGUAACCAUUUUCUCCCCAAGUUUG
rnacentral:lncRNA from 1 species